GAUUUCUGGUGUGGUGCGCCGAGCCCGCCUCUUAUGGAGGUGAGUGCUUGUGCGUGCCUGCCAUACUUCGGGGAUCCGUGCGGUCGGUGCCUUCACUGGUGUCCGGCUGUGCGUUCCCGAUCGUUUACUUUGAAAAAAUUAGAGUGUUUAAAGCAGGCUGACGCUAUGAAUACAUUAGCAUGGAAUAAUAAGAUAGGACUUCGGUUCUAUUUUGUUGGUUUCUAGGACUGAAGUAAUGAUUGAUAGGGACAGUUGGGGGUGCUAGUAUUUAACGGCCAGAGGUGAAAUUCUUGGAUUCGUUAAAGACUAACUUAUGCGAAAGCAUU
rnacentral:rRNA from 1 species